ACGAACGCUGGCGGCGCGCUUAACACAUGCAAGUCGAACGGAAAGGCCUGCUUUCCCUUGUGGAUUGCGGGUACUCGAGUGGCGAACGGGUGAGUAACACGUGAGUGAUCUGCCCCCAACUUGGGUAUAAGCCUGGGAAACUGGGUCUAAUUCCCGAUAGGACUGCAGGGUGGUGCCUGUGGUGGAAAACGAUUUUCUAGUGGUUGGGGAUGAGCUCGCGGCCUAUCAGCUUGUUGGUGGGGUAAUGGCCUACCAAGGCGGCGACGGGUAGCCGGCCUGAGAGGGUGGACGGCCACAUUGGGACUGAGAUACGGCCCAGACUCCUACGGGAGGCAGCAGUGGGGAAUAUUGCACAAUGGGCGGAAGCCUGAGGCAGCGACGCCGCGUGGGGGAUGACGGCCUUCGGGUUGUAAACUCCUUUCGACCGCGAGGAAGCCACCUGGUUGGAAGGGUGGUGACGGUAGUGGUAGAAGAAGCACCGGCUAACUACGUG
rnacentral:rRNA from 1 species